AAAGAGAGAAGUAAUUCGAACAUUUAUUAAAUUCUGUCAAGUAUCUGGAAGGUUCUCCUUUCCAUUAAGAUUUUAGUCAUAUGCAAAUUCAGUUCUGCUCUUGUAGAUUUUGCUUAGUUCAUACAGAUUGUUGUUACCCAGAAAAUUUCUUCCAUCUGCUUUGUGCCCAACAGCCAUGGAAACAGUCCUCAAUUGGGAAAAUUACAAAAUGUGUGCAGCAAAAAAAAGUGAGAAUCUGUCAGACAGCCAUUAGACCAUCCCAACACCGUUGACGGAGCUGAGAACGAUCAUCUACGGCGGCCAUGAACCCGAAGGCCAUGGGUGCUGUUAAUCACGCUCUGGUCAAAUGGCCACGUGUCAUCAACCAGACUUAGUUUCCUGUCUCCUUAGAACUCAAGGAUACAGUGGUACGAGCCUAUAGAACAGAUCCUGUUCAAGUAAGGUCGUGACAUUCCUUGUCACGACUCUUGCUUAAGUAGCAAUUUCCAGCAUAGUGUUCUGCCGAUGUGGGACAAGGAGCAACUACAGAUAGCUGCAGUUUUUAACUUGAUUUUGACGCUUCUUGAUGGAUUCUGAAUAUGAGCUUCUGUUCUACGGUGUUUGAAAUCAUUAUACCAUCACCAAUGCCUAACAGAACUGUCGGCCUUUGUCAGCUCCUCUGUUGUUUGCCGGACUUAAUGUUGUUUGGUCUCAACGAUAACUCCUGUUUGCGAUUUUGUAUGCUUCCGUCCUUAUUGGGAAAGAAGAGUAAGAUACAUAUUUUCCAUGUAUGAUGUAUCCUUAUGAUGCUGCAAAUUAUUCCUCCGUUCAGAAUUCAAUGUCUUACUCUACAGCUUUAUGUUCAUCCUUGUUUAUACAUCAUCUGGCCAUGUUAUUGUGUAGAUGAGAAUGAGGAAUCCAUUAAAUAUAAUAUUAGUAUCAUGUGGUUCACAGAACUCUCAUAUGUUGGAAUCACAUGAAACUCUUAAUGAUUAUGCCUCUUUAAAUGAAACCUUAAUUACGAUUAUCAUCAACAGGUGCCAUCUUGCUGCUGCUUUGUUUAGCUUGUUUUAUAUGUUGUUGAUUACGCAGAGAACUUAGUGGUGUGUUUUCACCAACACCAUUCAGUAAGUUAAGCAGAGAGGUGUCUGCAAUACCAUUGAAUCCUCAUUGUUCAUCUGCUUGCUAAUUUUGCCGUCAAACACUCUGGAUUUGGAUGCAAUAAGAAUAGAAAGAUCUGCCGAAGGUCGCGUUGCUGGCUGCGGUUCUAUGUAUCUACAGUAUGACACUUGAAUUUUCAAGAUCAAUUUAUAUAUUAUCGUUCUUCUGAUUUUUGUGUUGCAACACUAGUGUUUACUUCAUAGUUAUCAUGUAUAUUAAAAGAGAAUCAAAUAUAUGCUCCAUUGAUUUCUUUUCUCUAUUGCCAAACAGAAAGCUAAAGAAAGAACAAUGUCAUUUUAACUGAUUCUCCCACAUCACCAGGAGGGAAAAGAAGUGAAGCAAAAGAACUAGUAUAAAACAUGGGCUGGGCACACAGAGUAACAUACUUACCUGGACGGGGUCAAUGGGUGAUCAAUAAGGCCCAUGGCCUAGGUUGGUGACCUCCAUUGCACUUAGGAGGGGUGCCCGCCUAAGGUCGGCCCAAGUGGUCGAGCCUACGUCAUAAUUUGUGGCAGAGGGGGCCUGCGUUCGCGCGGCCCCUACCCAAUUCAAGUCUAAACUUGUGCAUCCCUUGAGAAAUUGGCCUGCUUGUUUAUUCUGACGUUGAAUUUUAAUGGAAAUUCCAAUAAUAUGUUGCGUGAAGUUCACAUUUGUUUCAUCCUGUUAAUUUGAGAUUAAAUCAUACUUAUGUAUGAGCAAUUGGUUUAGUAAUGUUUUAAUA